GCGCCCGUAGCUCAAUUGGAUAGAGCAUCUGACUUCGGAUCAGAGGGUUAGGGGUUCGAGUCCCUUCGGGCGUA
rnacentral:tRNA from 1 species